GGGCGGGUAGCUCAGUUGGAUAGAGCGUUGGCCUCCGGAGCCAAAGGUCGUGGGUUCGACUCCCGUCCCGCCCGCCA
rnacentral:tRNA from 1 species